CAAAACCGGUAACUGGGGCUAAGUCGUAACAAGGUAGCCGUACCGGAAGGUGCGGCUGGAACACCUCCUUUCUGGAG
rnacentral:rRNA from 1 species